GAUGAACGCUGGCGGCGUGCCUAAUACAUGCAAGUCGAGCGAACAGACGAGGAGCUUGCUCCUCUGACGUUAGCGGCGGACGGGUGAGUAACACGUGGAUAACCUACCUAUAAGACUGGGAUAACUUCGGGAAACCGGAGCUAAUACCGGAUAAUAUAUUGAACCGCAUGGUUCAAUAGUGAAAGACGGUUUUGCUGUCACUUAUAGAUGGAUCCGCGCCGCAUUAGCUAGUUGGUAAGGUAACGGCUUACCAAGGCGACGAUGCGUAGCCGACCUGAAAGGGUGAUCGGCCACACUGGAACUGAGACACGGUCCAGACUCCUACGGUAGGAAGCAGUAGGGAAUCUUCCGCAAUGGGCGAAAGCCUGACGGAGCAACGCCGCGUGGGUGAUGAAGGUCUUCGGAUCGUAAAACUCUGUUAUUAGGGAAGAACAAAUGUGUAAGUAACUAUGCACGUCUUGACGGUACCUAAUCAGAAAGCCACGGCUAACUACGUG
rnacentral:rRNA from 1 species